rnacentral:rRNA from 1 species
AGCGAACGCUGGCGGCAGGCCUAACACAUGCAAGUCGAGCGGUCGUAGCAAUACGGCAGCGGCAGACGGGAGAGUAACACGUGGGAACGUGCCCUAUGGUUCGGAAUAACGCAGGGAAACUUGCGCUAAUACCGAAUAAGCCCUUACGGGGAAAGAUUUAUCGCCAUUGGAGCGGCCCGCGUCUGAUUAGCUAGUUGGUGAGGUAACGGCUCACCAAGGCUACGAUCAGUAGCUGGUCUGAGAGGAUGAUCAGCCUCACUGGGACUGAGACACGGCCCAGACUCCUACGGGUGGCAG